GCAGUCGAGGGGUAAGAUCAAGCCUUGCUUGAUACACGACCGAGCGAACGGGUGCGUAACGCGAUAUGCAACCUACCCACAGCUGGGGCAUAGCCCGCUGGUAAACAUGGAUUAAUUCCCCAUAAUGCAGGGGUACCGCAUGGUACUAUUUGCUAAAGAUUUAUCGGCUGUGGAUGGGCAUGCGUCUGAUUAGCUUGUUGGUGAGGUAAUGGCACACCAAGGCUGCGAUCAGUAGCGGGUCUGAGAGGAUGAUCCGCCACACUGGCACUGAGAUACGGGCCAGACUCCUACGGGAGGCAGCAGUAGGGAAUAUUGGGCAAUGGGCGAAAGCCUGACCCAGCCAUGCCGCGUGCAGGAUGACAGCCUUCUGGGUUGUAAACUGCUUUUGUACAGGAAGAAAAAGGCCAUGCGUGGCCAAAUUGACGGUACUGUAAGAA
rnacentral:rRNA from 1 species